CUAAACACGAGGAGCCUGGGCGUCAGCCGUCUGAUAAGAGGUUAAAGACUAUCAGCCGGUGCUUUUGGAUCGGGGGCAGGGCAGGGCAGGGGUGUGCGUGGUGGUAGUUUUCGCGUGGGUGGCGGGCGUUCGCGUUUGCGUGCGGAGGUGGGCGGGCGGCGGAGCACGGGCUGUCUAGGUGAGGAGGUUUAGAUGGGAGGGGCUCGCAGGGGCCGCAGGAGGGAGGUGGUCGCGGGGGGGCGGCUAGAGGCCGGCCGGGUUAGGGGGGGCGCCGGCGGUACUUAGGGAUGCGGCUGUUGGCGAUGCGGCUGGGGAGGAGGAUGGCGCUGUCCGCGUCGCUGGACCGGCGCCGGGGAUAUGAGCGGGGAGGCCAGGGGCACCGGGGGCGGGUCUUGGGGAUGCGGCGGGGCAUGUGCGGGUACCGGCGGGGGCAGCCACCGAAGCCGGUCCCGCCGCCUCCGAUGCCGCCACCGUACCCUAUGCCGCCAUCUCCGUCUCCGCCGCCGCCGCCGCCGCCACCUGGUCCACCGAAGGCACCGCCGCCACCGUCUCCGCCGUCGUUGCCCUCCCUGCCCGAGCUGAGCGAGAGGGACGGGUUCCGCCUGAAGGCCCCGGAAUAUGGCAAGCUCUUCUCGAAGAUGCACCUCACGGGGCGGCACGUCCGAUACAGCCUGUGCCUCCACCGCGUCAUGGCAGUCGAGGCCCUAUAGUGGCACCUUCCGGCCCUCCACGGGUUCGGAUAGGCGAAGAAGGUACUUCGAUUGAAAGGUCUAAUGACGUACGUUCGUUAACGAUUCAGGCCUAAACACCUCGGUUGCGGAUAGGUUCGAGUCCCUACCGGCUACCGGAACUUCCCGUCCCUACACUAACCAUAACGUCUUUGACCUAGGCCCUUUUGUGAUAGAAUGUAUGAUGGACCAAACCAAGUACAACCACGUGUCGGAGCUGAUCUUGUUCCACUACCGGGCUAACAGAACUAGGAACGGGGUUGUUCUCUUGACCGACAGGUUUAUGUCCGUCUUCGAUGUUUUAAACCUAGUAUGAGCUCUUGAUCUUCGUGUACAUAGAUGCCACCUCGUGGAUUCCCUGGUGUUUAUGCACUGGAUUCCUCUCCUCAACUUUAACAGUAACGUUGUGGUCCGGCCAACUAGCUAUACGACCUUCGACCAGUGUGUUUGGAUGCGGCCCAAUGUAUGGAACAGGACCUACUCCGUCUGGCAUACGAGCUAUACCCAAAACUUGGAGUCUAAGCUUUUUAUAACCGUGUUUAGGCAGGCCUGUCCGUUUGGAACAUGACCUCACGGUGCACCGGCUCUCUUCAACUUUGCGACCGAUCUGUUAAAGAUGUUUUGGGAAUGUUCCAUUACUAUCCUUGUCGACUUGAAUUUCGAUUGGUAAGGUAUGUCGUUUAACAACUUCAAUAGAGCCUAGUACUUUUUAUAGGGUCCGAUUCAUUUGAAAAUAGACUAGACUACCUACCCUCGGCUUAGAACUAUAAAAAAGUUUGUUUCUUCCUUACACUAUUCCAGUGAGCCGUUGAAUCUUACCUGCCUACCGGUCGUAAUAGAUAUGUACCGCUAUUUCGAGUCAGACUUUCCCUGAUACAAGACCGUCUCAAAUUUUUACCCUUCUCAGGAUAUUACCGACGGUGUCUACAUCGCCGUGCACCAGAACCAUACCACUGAACAAACUUAUAAUCCUAAUACAAUAUCAAGGUUCACGAGUCCCUACUAUUCAGCCUCCCGACAAGUCGACGAAAACCAACUCACUUGACUUGAACACCCAACCACCACAUACGCUCCACGAUAGUUCAGUCUCCAUCUAGUAGAAAAGGGAGGCAAACGGAGUGAACUCGCAUUCGUUAACCGUCACAAUGGUCCCUGAAGUCAAAGGUAGAUAGUACCACUGGUUCAACAGAUGCUAAAUCUCUGGACAAUCUGAACACCCGAAACGUAAACUCCCUCUAGGAAUUGAAUCAAAAUUUUUCCCGCGGAUAAUAAACUAAAAAAUCGUCGAAGCGAACUCGUGGAUAAUAAAUUAUACGUAGCAUUAUCAAAAGAUUGAUAGGGACCUUCUGUAGAAGACAUUCGUAACGAUUAAUAAACAACGACAGAAGAAGCCAUUCAUGGUAGGAAAUGUAUGGAAUAAUAUUUCAUGGUAGAACCAAUUGACCAUCAUCAUGUACAAAACGUAGAAUUGUAGAAGGUAACGUAACUAAGGACUCUAUUACAACGAUUAUUAAGACGUACUUGUAUAUGAUACGGAUCAAUACGUAUCCCGUGAGGAUUACGUAGUAUAGAAUUCAAUAUAAUGUAGGCAUGGUUUUAUAUUCUGUAAAAAUUUCCGAUUUGAUGGGAUGUUUUUGCAUGUAAAACUAUACCUCGAACAUAGUAGUAUAUGUAAUUUAUACACAAAUCUAUGUUGAAGGGACUACCAAAAAUAGAAUCACAACAUAGAUCUUCACGAGAGUAAAUUAUACAAAACAAUCUGUUUUUCAUAAUCAACGGGACCAAAGUCACUUUACUCGAUAUAGAUCUCAUUCUGUUCAAUUUUGAGAGAGGUACCUCGUGACACUGACGGGAAUAACCACAUUUCGUUAUUUUCGCGAGUGUGUCACACUGAACGUAUCCAUUAAUUCUAUUAAACAAGUAAGAAUAUCUUGACAUUCCUAGAGGGACGGGGGAUGUGAAUAAUGGACGAAUUAUUCACGGAGCAGACAACCAUAGUGACGGUUAACCAUAUUUCUACCAAACAUCAUAACAGUAACUUUAGGAGUUCAACUGGAGACUACUUCGUGGAUUCGUAACGCCGGAAACAACCUAACCACACCUACUGUCUAAACAAGACCAAGUGUGCCUAUAUACAACCACAACCAUGUAAUAUAACCUAUAUUUUCAGUGGGAAACAUUUUUUUCCGAACUCAAAUUCGUGGUAGUUAAGGUGUAGGUCGUCACUAACUAUGGGUCAAGUCAAGACGUCGGGGAAGCUGAACACAAUCGACAUCUACAACUUUCACUUCGGAACACGUCACAAGAAACCUAGAACAGAUUCGGUACACGAUGGAAAGACACCUCUAGCUGUUACAACUACGGGUCACACCAGGCGUCACCAUAAGUCCUUAGUCCUGAUGUGUAAAUAGAACAAACAUAUGACUACUACCAGAACAACUGAAACGUCUACACUUCCUAUAAUUCACGCACUAAUUAAAACUAAAGGGCUGUUGAUAGCUCCUAAUAUAAGUGUCCUAUCCGGCUUGACCGGCACGACCACGAUGGCCCUACCGUAAAUGCAAGAAGUGUGUAAGGUUACGUUUUAUAAGUUCCUUAGAGCAAUUCUAGAACGCGCUUCGACCCGUCCAACACUUAGGUCGCGAUCUUCGAUACAGGUUCAGGAGACCAAGAUACCCUCCUCCUCCGUUAAAGGCCAGUUCUCCGGCUCCACCCAAACCACCACCCAUACCACCAUUGGCAAGACCUAGUUUAAGGUAAGGUCAUGCAUCUUCUAUGAUUCUUUGCUUUUACUUCUAGGUAAAACUACGACCUUUUCUGCCUUGCUACUUCAAAAUAGACAUAUGUAAUCCGUAAUUUAAUUUACGUAAAAACCCCUUAAAGAAACUUUAGGACGAUGACAAUCUCUAGUUUUGUUUUCAGUAAGAAUUAUAAAAACAUGGCCUCGAGUAUACUUUCUUAGAGUACAUAGUCGCUGGAACCUCUAAUGUCAUCAAGAUAGCUUUGUCACUUGAUUCGUACAUAAAAAACACGAGUAUACAAAACAACGAAGACGUAGAGAGAUAUGACCUCCGGAAGAGAAUAAAGGG
rnacentral:rRNA from 1 species